GAAAGGCGAUAAGUAAUGUGCAUUGCAGAAUUCAGUGAAUCAUCGAAUCUUUGAACGCACAUUGCGCCCAUUAGUAUUCUAUUGGGCAUGCCUGUUCGAGCGUCAUUUCAACCCUUAAGCUCAGCUUAGUGUUGGGAAUCUACCGUGAGCGGUGCUACCCUGUAGCUACCCUGUAGUUCCUCAAAUCCAACGGCGGAGUCGUAGUUAUCUCUGAGCGCAGUAAUUUUUAUCACGCUUUUGAAGGUGCUACAACCCUAGCCGCUAAACCCCCAAUUUUUUAAUGGUUGACCUCGGAUCAGGUAGGAAUACCCGCUGAACUUAA
rnacentral:misc_RNA from 1 species